AUUGAACGCUGGCGGCAGGCCUAACACAUGCAAGUCGAGCGAGCGGCGGACGGGUGAGUAAUGUCUGGGAAACUGCCUGCUGGAGGGGGAUAACUAAUGGAAACGGUAGCUAAUACCGCAUACCAUCAGAUGUGCCCAGAUGGGAUUAGCUAGUAGGGGGGGUAACGGCUCACCUGGGCGACGAUCCCUAGCUGGUCUGGGAGGAUGACAGGCCACACUGGAACUGAAACAGGGUCCAGACUCCUACGGGAGGCACCGGAGGGGAAUAUUGCACAAUGGGCGCAAGCCUGACGCAGCCAUGCGGCGGGGGGGAGGAAGGCCUUCGGUUGUUAAAGCACUUUCAGCGGGGAGGCGGUACCCGCAGAAGAAGCACCGGCUAACUCCGUGCCAGCAGCCGCGGUAAUAC
rnacentral:rRNA from 1 species